CAAUAACGUGUUUUACUUUUUGUUAUAUACAAAUCAGUUUUAUGUUAUAACGGUGAACUAUUUAAGGCAACUAACGUUUUACAUCUGUGAGCUGAACCAGGUCACCUGGAUAAACAUAAUGUAGCUUUGUGAACCCAGCUUUGAAAAUCGUGAAUUACUUGUCACCUGAGUAUUGCUGAAUUGACACAUAUGCCAACUUUAAUAAAUGUAGACUACAUAUAUUACUACAGCUUUUGAGAUAACUUCAGCCGAAGUAGUACACCAUUAAAAAAAACGUUCCAUGUAACGUUUGAAACGAAUAACAGAAAAUAAGACAUGACUGCCUCUGUGGCGAAAAGAAAAGGCAAAAUUUACAAAUAAUUAGAACAUAUCAAAGUCUUCAACAGCACCGAGCGUAACUAGCGAGUUGACGAUAUCAGACGCAGAUAUUGCUUGUAAUUCCUCCACUGACCAACCAGAGUUGCCCGGCCCCAAAGCUACAAUCUCAUCAAACAUCUUUGUGAAAGAAAUGAAUCCCGAGCCUUGCUAUAAAACGCUAUGUAAUUAAAGAAUGAAUAAACAGGGAGAUUCUCAUCCAGUAUGGGAGGUGUCAUUUCAUCAAAUGCUUCAGAUUUAUGUCAUUAAUAUCUGACGAUGGCAUCAUAGCUACAAUAGGUCCAAGCGAAGACAAAACACUUUCAUCCCAACCUCGUGCUGGAC